AGAGUGAACGCUGGCGGCAGGCCUAACACAUGCAAGUCGAACGGCAGCACAGUAAGAGCUUGCUCUUAUGGGUGGCGAGUGGCGGACGGGUGAGGAAUACAUCGGAAUCUGCCUAUUUGUGGGGGAUAACGUAGGGAAACUUACGCUAAUACCGCAUACGACCUACGGGUGAAAGCGGAGGACCUUCGGGCUUCGCGCAGAUAGAUGAGCCGAUGUCGGAUUAGCUAGUUGGUGGGGUAAAGCCCACCAAGGCGACGAUCCGUAGCUGGUCUGAGAGGAUGAUCAGCCACACUGGAACUGAGACACGGUCCAGACUCCUACGGGAGGCAGCAGGUGGGGAAUAUUGGACAAGUGGGACGCAAGCCUGAUCCAGCCAUGCCGCGUGAGUGAAGAAGGCCCGUUGGUGUAAGUCUUCGUUUGGUAGGGAAGAAAGCAAUCGGUUAAUACCGUUGUUC
rnacentral:rRNA from 1 species